GACAGAGGGGGCAAGCGUUGCUCGGAAUUACUGGGCGUAAAGGGCGCGUAGGCGGGAUGGCAAGUCGGUCGUGAAAUCCCUCGGCUCAACUGGGGAGGGUCAUUCGAUACUGAUCGACUCGAAGGCAGGAGAGGGAAGUGGAAUUCCCGGUGUAGUGGUGAAAUGCGUAGAUAUCGGGAGGAACACCAGUGGCGAAGGCGACUUCCUGGCCUGUUCUUGACGCUGAGGCGCGAAAGCUAGGGGAGCAAACGGG
rnacentral:rRNA from 1 species